CAGUCGCCGCGGGAAUACGUAGGUGGCAAGCGUUGUCCGGAAUUAUUGGGCGUAAAGGGCUCGCAGGCGGUUUCUUAAGUCUGAUGUGAAAGCCCCCGGCUCAGCCGGGGAGGGUCAUUGGAAACUGGGAAACUUGAGUGCAGAAGAGGAGAGUGGAAUUCCACGUGUAGCGGUGAAAUGCGUAGAGAUGUGGAGGAACACCAGUGGCGAAGGCGACUCUCUGGUCUGUAACUGACGCUGAGGAGCGAAAGCGUGGGGAGCGAACAGGAUUAGAUACCCCAGUAGUCCCUGUCUCUUAUAC
rnacentral:rRNA from 1 species